AAGAAACAAACAGAUCUUGGAUGGCCCGAGGGAAACAGACUCUUUGUGAUGUGAUAGUUUUAUCAAAGUUCACAUAGUACAGCAGUUCCUCCUCCUGCAGUGCAAGGGUGGAGCGCAGUUCUUGGAUCAGUUCCAACCGUUUCUCUCUUCCCUUGAACAUCUGUCAACCAUCAGACUUCAUCCUUUCACAUCGACAACAACAUCGCAAUUGGUUAGAAAACCAGGCUCCGCCCACUGAGCCUUACCUGAAUCUGCACGGAUCUUCCUCUGAGCACUUUCUGCAGAAAGAUAAUGACCUGUUCCUUUUCCUCAUCUCCCUGUUAUGGACAGAACACUCAUAUCUCAGAAUGAUCGAUGUGUCAUACAAAAAGAAUUCCAAAAUAAAUGAUUCCGUGGAAGUCAAUGUUUAUCAUACAGUAUCCUCCGAUCACUUGAGAUCAGCGGUUCUUUCAGUUUUUGUGAAAAAGAAUGCACUUUAGAAAAGAGUAAUUAUUACUGAAAAUAAUGUAAUUUAAAAUAAUGUUUGUGAAACUGCAUGUUAAUUGCACUUAAUUCAUAAUGUAUAA